rnacentral:rRNA from 1 species
ACUCCUACGGGAGGCAGCAGUGGGGAAUAUUGCACAAUGGGCGCAAGCCUGAUGCAGCCAUGCCGCGUGUGUGAAGAAGGCCUUCGGGUUGUAAAGCACUUUCAGUCGUGAGGAAGGUAGUGUAGUUAAUAGCUGCAUUAUUUGACGUUAGCGACAGAAGAAGCACCGGCUAACUCCGUGCCAGCAGCCGCGGUAAUACGGAGGGUGCGAGCGUUAAUCGGAAUUACUGGGCGUAAAGCGCAUGCAGGUGGUUAGUUAAGUCAGAUGUGAAAGCCCGGGGCUCAACCUCGGAAUAGCAUUUGAAACUGGCAGACUAGAGUACUGUAGAGGGGGUAGAAUUUCAGGUGUAGCGGUGAAAUGCGUAGAGAUCUGAAGGAACUACCGGUGGCGAAGGCGGCCCCUGGACAGAUACUGACACUCGAGAUGCGAAAGCGUGGGAGCGAAACAGGAUUAGAUACCCCGUGGUAGCGACUGA